UACAUCGUGUUAAUACAUACAUAGACACACAUCACAAGCAAUAAACGUAUUACCGAACAUUCUGAGAGAUAAACAUAUACAUUAACUAGCACAGCACGAGGAUAAUGGUCGUUAAGCACUGUGACGUCACCAAUAACGCUGUGUUGGGCAAGAAGGUCAGGAGCGGCCGGCGGCUGCCACAGUGUCGGGCUGACAGCCAGCAGACGUAGUUCCUUAGGCGGUGUCCCGCUUCUUACAUCAUUUGCAGCUACACCGGUCAUCAAAAAUCCACACUCGCCUGUUAUGUAAUUCACGGAAGCAAUUAUUUCUGAAUUACUUUGGUUAAGACCGGGUAUUUGGGUCUGGCGCGACAAUCGCCACGAGUCUUCUUGAGAAACUUAAAGUGAACGGAGGACUAGUCAGGCGCACAAGGCACGGAACUAGUUCUGACGUGACGUAGUUGCAAGUCUCGAUAGAGGUGGUUGGACGGUGUUGAACACAGGGCGCCUGACAACGUUGCAGGAAUAUCUGAAA